rnacentral:rRNA from 1 species
CCGGCUAANUACGUGCCAGCAGCCGCGGUAAUACGUAGGGUGCGAGCGUUNUCCGGAAUUACUGGGCGUAAAGAGCUNGUAGGUGGUUUGUUGCGUCGUCUGUGAAAUUCCGGGGCUUAACUUCGGGGUGGCAGGCGAUACGGGCAUAACUAGAGUGCUGUAGGGGAGACUGGAAUUCCUGGUGUAGCGGUGGAAUGCGCAGAUAUCAGGAGGAACACCGAUGGCGAAGGCAGGUCUCUGGGCAGUAACUGACGCUGAGGAGCGAAAGCAUGGGGAGCGAACAGGAUUAGAUACCCUGGUAGUCCAUGCUGUAAACGGUGGGCGUUAGGUGUGGGGACCGGUUUGGUUUCUGUGCCGUAGCUAACGCAUUAAGCGCCCCGCCUGGGGAGUACGGCCGCAAGGCUAAAACUCAAAGGAAUUGACGGGGGCCCGCACAAGCGGCGGAGCAUGUGGAUUAAUUCGAUGCAACGCGAAGAACCUUACCUGGGUUUGACAUGCACCAGACGGUUGUAGAGAUACGUACCUCCCUUUGUGGUUGGUGUGCAGGUGGUGCAUGGUUGUCGUCAGCUCGUGUCGUGAGAUGUUGGGUUAAGUCCCGCAACGAGCGCAACCCUUGUCUUAUGUUGCCAGCACUUUGGGUGGGGACUCAUGAGAGACUGCCGGGGUUAACUCGGAGGAAGGUGGGGAUGACGUCAAAUCAUCAUGCCCUUUAUGCCCAGGGCCUCACACAUGCUACAAUGGUUAGUACAACGCGCUGCGAACCUGUGAGGGUGAGCGAAUCGCUGAAAGCUAAUCUCAGUUCGGAUUGGGGUCUGCAACUCGACCCCAUGAAGUCGGAGUCGCUAGUAAUCGCAGAUCAGCAAUGCUGCGGUGAAUACGUUCCCGGGCCUUGUACACACCGCCCGUCACGUCAUGAAAGUUGGUAACACCCGAAGCCCAUGGCCUAACCACCUUAUGGUGGGGG